GCGGGCGCUCUUACCCCGUCUUCCCCUACAGAGGAAUACCAGUACGGAAGGCUCGCCGACGACGGCACUAGACAGUAUCAUCUCCAAUUGCGCGGUGACUCACGACCACCGAAUAUUGCGGUAAUCAGCUUCAUCCAUCCUUCUCAUUAGAAGCUAGACCGGCCAUCGGCCAACUGCGAGAGUUGUGCAGGACAGAAAAGCCUCCCACUGGAAGGCUUUUCUUUUCAUCAUUACAGUUUCGAAGCUUUCGGAGUGCAGUCAGAUCGGACGUCUGUGUGCAGUCGGACGCAGGGAGCGGAUCACCCCGUCACGGUAGCGAACCGUUGAUGCGAAAGGGUAAGGGACGCUCAGGAAUCUCCAGACCACUCACCAUCAGUAGGCGCCAAUCUCGCUUCUGUGGCCGAACACAGGGAGCGAAGCGUACAGUUGAAGCGAGGCGCAGACUUCAGUUCGCUGGUGACAGGCACUGCGGCAUACCCGGACAGUUGCGGUGACGAGUCGGUGUGAGGCAAGAGGUGCAGGAUGCAGAGAUUCGGUAGGAAACAAGGGUGCACCCAAGAAGAGUUUCGUGAGUACCACUAGUAUAAGAAAAUGAAUGGAAUGAAGAAGAAAGCAAGUCAGAGUUAGGGAAUAGAAGGCAGAUAAGGGUGAUGAUGACCAGUAUGCUAAAUAAAAUAAUUGCACAAUGAUUUAAGCUA